UGCUUAAUAAUAUAUGCCUAUAAAAAAACAUCCCUCCUUACUUCUCCCACCCAAUAUUCUCUCUAAAUUACCAAAUGCGACAACCGCCGGCGCCACCAGUUUCUUCCGGCGACCCGCCGCGAAUGUCUUCCACUUCAAACUCAACCUGCAGUCCCAACAUUUGCAGGUGGCAACCAUACUCGGACUCGAGUGAUUUUCAAGAUAACGUUGCCAUGGUCUUAAUCAUUCUUUUUUGCGCUUUAAUCUGCUCUGUGGUUCUUAACGCCGUCAUCCGCUGCUUCUUACGCGGGAAUUACAGUGGAAGCCUCCGCUCUCGGCGUUCAAACAAUGGCAGUCACCUUCCUCAAACCCAACAAGAGCUUGAGCAGAGGAAGCCUGUAACGGAGGCGGGUGUAGCACGCAUGUCGGUGGCUCCGACGGUGGUUUAUUCGCAUGGGAUGAAGCUUGCUGGAGCGGAGGGUGUACCGGAAUGUGCUAUUUGCUUGUCGGAAUUCGUGGAAGGCGACGGAAUUCAAGUGUUGGCUAAGUGUAAACAUGGUUUCCAUGUACAAUGUAUUCAACGGUGGUUGGCUUCACACUCUUCUUGCCCCACUUGCCGUUCUAUUUGUCUUCCUCCGUCGCCGUCACCGGAAGAAACUACCCGUGAAUGCGUUGGAGACGGUUCCCAACCGGUGGUGCCGGACCCGGAACCGUAGCAGCUUUGGUUGCUCUUCUUUAUACUUUCAAUUUUUUUUCUUCAUAAAAUAGCUUUAAACAUCACGAAUCUACGAAAUAAAAAUCCAAACAGUUUUCUUCUCCAAUCUCCGACAUUGACCAUCAAAUCAACUUGGAUCUAAGCAUGAAGCGAUAUCACCGCCGGAAUGGGAAUAUACAUGGCCGGAAUCUUAAAAUUUUCGAACAUUAUCUCGGCCAUUUUCUGCCUUUUGGACUUGGAAUUGUGCGGUGCUUCGGUGAGGAGCACGGGAUGUUUUUGGGGAUCGACAUGAAACUCGUUAUGGCAAGUGUGAUACCAGAUUUGUUCGAUGUCAUCCCAAUUGGUAAUGAAAUCAUGUUGAUCAACAAGGUAAUUCAAUGUGCAAAUACCACUCCAAGCCAGAGCUUCACACCGAAAAAGACAGCUUUGUGUUCCAUUCCGGCGUGCGGUGGCCGUGCAACGACGCAUGGGAAGACAGUCCUAGGAGUUCCUUCACCGGUAAAACCAGCCUGUUUGAGGAUAACGAAGUGAGGGUUGGUUCCACAAUCUUAGAGUGAAAAACACACAGGCAAUGGCAGAAGAUAAAUAUAAUGGAACACAACAGAUUAUACAUGCUAAACAGUUUGAAAAUAUUAUACUUGCAAUCGGGGAGGAUACGAAGUUGAUGGAAUCUGAAACUGAAAGCUCGAGAGUGAAGAUGAUGAUGAUUAAAUGAAUGUGCUGGACAACGGAGAUAAGAUCAUUUUCAUUGUUUUUUAUUCAUUAAUUUUCCAAUUUUACCAACAAUAUCAAAAUUUCGAGUUCAUGCUUACGAUAUGUAUCAGAGGCUUUUCCUUACUGUUGUUAUGAAUUUUAUCUUUUUGGCGUUUAAA